rnacentral:misc_RNA from 1 species
GUCUUUUGUUAUUUGAUUGGGGUAUUGUUUACAAGUGGGUAAAACGGGGUUUGUUGAAAAAAAAACGGGGGUUAGGGGUUUUGACGCCCCUUUCCCCCGUUGGCUUGCACAUUGGGGUGUGGGUAAAAGUGUUUGUGAAACACUGAUGAUCCUUCCGCAGGUUCACCUACGGAAA